GUUUGGGCUUGGUUUCAUUGGUGUGUCCUUCCAAGAAGCUGAUAAACUUCCCACAGAUGUCCUUCCUGAAAGGAAACAAUCAGUGGAAUGAGAAUAAAAAGGAGCUGAGACAGUAAUGGAAUCAACUGGGAGGCCCUAAAGGGUUCCAGCAUCUCUUCACCCUUUCAAGGAUGAUGACUCUCCCAUGGAUUCUAUUGUUACUUGGUAAUGGGAAACAAGGCUCUAGUCCAGCUCCUUUCCUCAUUUAUUUAUUGGAAAAAUGAAUGUAGAUCUUGAUAAGACCUUUCUCAGACUGGGAAGAUUCUACUUGAGGGCAGACAGACACCUCCAAAUUAUUUUGGCAAAUCCUCUUCAAGCCUAAAAUAGCCAAAAAAGAAAAAAAAAAUUCUGGAAGGACUCAUCCCACUCCCUUCCUUGUUGCCUGUCAGUGUAUGUGGAAGGUGGGUGAAAAGAUGGACGUCCCAAAAAGUGCAGAGGAUGCAUGCAACGAGGGCACAUCAGCAGGAUUUGCGCUGCCUUGAAAUGGCAAAGUUCCUCAACAACACCACUUACCACCGUGGGCAUCCCUGGCACUGGGACUUGCAGGAUGCCAGGCUCAGCAAUUCCAGAGCAGAAUCAUACAAUCAUUAAGGUCGGAAAAGAUCAAUAACAUUAAGCUCAACUGUCAACCCACCUUCACCAUGCCCACUAAACCAUGGCCCUCAGUACCACAACCACUCUUUUCUUGGAAGCCUCCAGGGACAGUGACUCAACUACCUCCCUCAGCAGCCUGUUUCAAUGUAUUAUCGCUCUUUCAGAGAAGAAAUAUUUCAUAAUAUCCAACCUGACUCUCCCCUGGUGCAACUUGAGGCCAUCACUUCUCCUCCUAUAGCUGUUAACAGGGAGCAGAGGCCAACCCCUCAUUCCAGCCUCCUUUCAGGGAUUUGUAGAGCAAUGAGAUCUCUCCUGAACCUCCUCUUCUCCACACUGAACCACCCCAGUUCCUGAGAUGCUUCCUAUAAGACUUGUGCUCCAGAUCCUUCACAGCUCCAUUGCCCAAAGAAGAAGGAAGGUGAUGUAGGGUAGCAAAACUACCUUAAGCUUGGGAAGCUUAGCAGUAACACUGAAGAAGAAAAAAAUUAAAACAUGCAGAAAGACAAAAGCUCGUCUUUGGGACAGGUAAUUUAGGGCUGUAUGUAGCAAGAAAGCUGUAAGAGAAGCUUUUUACAGCAGAAGAGAGCUGAAGUUCUGGCAGUCAGUCCUAGUUGUCCAACAACAAAGCAAUCACUUUCCCCUGCCCUUUGGAAGGCACGUGAAGCAUCGCGCUGGCAAAUCCUCCCUUGCUUCGCUCACUCUGUCAGGCGGAUCUCCCCUCACACCUCCACAUCCCAUCCCUCGGCGUCCCGACAGGCUUUCCCUUCACCGGAUGGACGCGGCCGCCCCACAGCACUCUGAGGACGAACCACCCCCUGAGCCCGGGCAGCCCUCACGGCCCACCUGCCGCCCCGCAGCCACCACCCUUCGGCGCCUCCCUCCCCUCACAGCCCCAGCUCCCUCCCUCUCUCCCCGCUUGGUAACGCCGUCUCCGUACUCACAGCAUCUG
ensembl:lncRNA